rnacentral:rRNA from 1 species
ACCUCUGCAAUAGGCGAAAGCUUGACAGGGUUACUCUGAGUGAUGCCCGCUAAGGGCAUCUUUUGGCACCUCUAAAAAUGGUGCAGAAUAAGGGGUGGGCAAGUCUGGUGUCAGCCGCCGCGGUAAUACCAGCACCCCGAGUGGUCGGGACGAUUAUUGGGCCUAAAGCAUCCGUAGCUUGUUCUGCAAGUCCUCCGUUAAAUCCACCUGCUCAACAGAUGGGCCGCGGAGGAUACUACAGGGCUAGGAGGCGGGAGAGGCAAGCGGUACUCAGUGGGUAGGGGUAAAAUCCUCUGAUCCACUGAAGACCACCAGUGGCGAAGGCGGCUUGCCAGAACGCGCUCGACGGUGAGGGAUGAAAGCUGGGGGAGCAAACCGGAUUAGAUACCCGGGUAGUCCCAGCUGUAAACGAUGCAGACUCGGUGAUGGGUUGGCUUUGAGCCAACCCAGUGCCGCAGGGAAGCCGUUAAGUCUGCCGCCUGGGGAGUACGGUCGCAAGACUGAAACUUAA